rnacentral:rRNA from 1 species
GACGAACGCUGGCGGCGUGCUUAACACAUGCAAGUCGAACGGAAAGGCCCUGCUUGCCGGGUACUCGAGUGGCGAACGGGUGAGUAACACGUGGGUGAUCUGCUCUGCACUUCGGGAUAAGCCUGGGAAACUGGGUCUAAUACUGGCUAGGAGCUAUUUUUAGUGUGAUGGUUGGAAAGUUUUUUCGGUGUAGGAUGAGCUCGCGGCCUAUCAGCUUGUUGGUGGGGUAAUGGCCUACCAAGGCGGCGACGGGUAGCCGGCCUGAGAGGGUGGACGGCCACAUUGGGACUGAGAUACGGCCCAGACACCUACGGGAGGCAGCAGGGGGGAAGAUUGCACAAGGGGCGCAGGCCGGAUGCAGCGACGCCGCGGAGGGGAUGACGGCCUUCGGGUUGUAAACUCCUUUCGCUAGGGACGAAGCUUUUUGUGACGGUACCUAGAUAAGAAGCACCGGCUAACUACGUG